UGGAUCAAUGAUGAUAAAUGCCAGCAUGAGUCAUCGGUGAUGAAUAAUAUGUGACUGGAACUUUGAGGUCCAA
ensembl:snoRNA